CUUUUGAAUUUUUGCUUAUUUCAAUCCUGGAUGUCAACAGCACGGAGGGAGAUUAAGGAGUGUUUCCACCAGGUAUGCUUGCGUUUGGAUGAUUGCUUCAUGCCAAAAAUUCAUUUUCUUCUGUAUAACAAAGAACAGAAAAUAGAACAAAGACUGGUCAAAUUUUUAGACCACAUCUUGAUUGACUAUGAGGUAACCUUGGUCAUAUAUAUAAUGACGGCUGCAUCAUGUGUAUGCAUAUUAGCAACUAAAAACAGAAAUUUCAAAAUGAUCAUAGCCAUUACACAAGAACCAAUGAUAAAUUUGUACUAAUACUUUGGAAACAAAAUUGAACUGUUAUUAAAGCUGAUUAAAC